CUCAGCACUUCUAUGCAGCACUGCUGCAGCUGGGCCUCAAGUACCUCUUUAUCCUUGGUAUUCAGGGGCCUAUAGAAACUCUCCUUUUGCUCCGCUUCCUCCUCUCCUUCACAAGUAACGUGGCCCCUCCUCUCCUCCUCUAGAUUCUGGCCUGUGCCUUGGCAGCCUCCAUCCUUCGCAGGCAUCUCAUGGUCUGGAAAGUGUUUGCCCCUAAGUUCAUAUUUGAGGCUGUGGGCUUCAUUGUGAGCAGCGUGGGACUUCUCCUGGGCAUAGCUUUGGUGAUGAGAGUGGAUGGUGCUGUGAGCUCCUGGUUCAGGCAGCUAUUUCUGGCCCAGCAGAGGUAGCCUAGUCUGUGAUUACUGGCACUUGGCUACAGAGAGUGCUUGAGAACAGUGUAGCCUGGCCUGUACAGGUACUGGAUGAUCUGCAAGACAGGCUCAGCCAUACUCUUACUAUCAUGCAGCCAGGGGCCGCUGACAUCUAGGACUUCAUUAUUCUAUAAUUCAGGACCACAGUGGAGUAUGAUCCCUAACUCCUGAUUUGGAUGCAUCUGAGGGACAAGGGGGGCGGUCUCCGAAGUGGAAUAAAAUAGGCCGGGCGUGGUGACUUGCACCUAUAAUCCCAGCACUUUGGGAGGCAGAGGUGGGAGGAUUGCUUGGUCCCAGGAGUUCAAGACCAGCCUGUGGAACAUAACAAGACCCCGUCUCUACUAUUUAAAAAAAAGUGUAAUAAAAUGAUAAUA
rnacentral:lncRNA from 10 species